AGUGGCGGACGGGUGAGUAACGCGUGAGAAUCUGCCUUGGGGUCGGGGACAACCACUGGAAACGGUGGCUAAUACCGGAUAAGCCGAUUGGUGAAAGAUUUAUUGCCCGAAGAGGAGCUCGCGUCUGAUUAGCUAGUUGGUGAGGUAAGAGCUCACCAAGGCAGCGAUCAGUAGCUGGUCUGAGAGGACGAUCAGCCACACUGGGACUGAGACACGGCCCAGACUCCUACGGGAGGCAGCAGUGGGGAAUUUUCCGCAAUGGGCGAAAGCCUGACGGAGCAAGACCGCGUGAGGGAGGAAGGCUCUUGAGUUGUAAACCUCUUUUCUCAGGGAAGAAGCUCUGACGGUACCUGAGGAAUCAGCCUCGGCUAACUCCGUGCCAGCAGCCGCGGUAAUACGGAGGAGGCAAGCGUUAUCCGGAAUUAUUGGGCGUAAAGCGUCCGCAGGUGGCGAUUCAAGUCUGCUGUCAAAGCACGGGGCUUAACUCCGUAAAGGCAGUGGAAACUGAAUAGCUAGAGUGCCGUAGGGGUAGAGGGAAUUCCCGGUGUAGCGGUGAAAUGCGUAGAGAUCGGGAAGAACAUCGGUGGCGAAAGCGCUCUACUGGACGGCAACUGACACUCAGGGACGAAAGCUAGGGGAGCGAAUGGGAUUAGAUACCCC
rnacentral:rRNA from 1 species